rnacentral:misc_RNA from 1 species
UCCGAGUUGUCCCCGGCAGUCUCCUUAGAGUCCCCGCCAUUACGCGCUGGCAACUAAGGACAGGGGUUGCGCUCGUUGCGGCACUUAACCCAACAUCUCACGACACGAGCUGACGACAGCCAUGCAGCACCUGUGCACGAUCUCCGAAGAGGGGCUCUCGUUUCUGAGAGCUUGCUCGUGCAUGUCAAGCCUAGGUAAGGUUCUUCGCGUUGCGUCGAAUUAAACCACAUGCUCCACCGCUUGUGCGGGCCCCCGUCAAUUCCUUUGAGUUUCAGCCUUGCGGCCGUACUCCCCAGGCGGGGUACUUCCUGCGUUAGCUGCGACACGGAAGGGGUCGAUCCCACCCGCGUCUAGUGCCCAUCGUUUACGGCGUGGACUAC